ACUGCUUGCUGCUCUCCCCAUUUCAGAGUGCUCUAGAGAAGGAAUGUGGGCUCACUAUACCAACUGAUGGUGACACUUUCGGAGGCAGGGUAACUGUCACGGCGAAUGGCAGCUAUUCAAGGUCAGUCAGGCUGUCUCCCAUGGCUGUGGAGGUCGCACAGUGUAGUACUGACUGGUGCAAUUGAAAGGGCACUUGGAGACGGAUGUAUGAAGGUCUGAUUUCUACUUCUUCCCAAGACUGUGUGAUCAUGGGUGUGGGGGCAAAAUGGAAACAUCAUGGCAGAAGAAUGUGGCGGAGGAAAGCUGCUCACUUCAUGGCAACCAGGAAGGAGAGAGAGCAAGAGACCCAGAGAGGAAGGGGUCACGGACACCAUAUUGCUCCAAGCUUACAACUCCAUUGCCACUUCUUUUAACUAGGCCCUGCUUGCUAAGUUUCUAUUAACUCCCAAUAAUGCUAUCAAAUUAUAAUCUCAUCAAUGAUCCAGUGAUGGAUCUAUAGCCCUCCUGAUCCAGUUACUUCACAAAAGCCUUGUCCCUGAACAUGUGAGACAUGUGAAGGCUAUUUAAGAAUGGAAUCAUAGCACAGUGGGUGCUAUACCAGCAAGAGUAGGGAGGGCACAUUCCCAUCAGUGUAGAAAGCACCCCUGGGCAGUGCUGCCAUAGAGAAAUGGUAAGUCAGGACGACACAGCUGUGCUGUUUCCCAGAAGACCCAACUGAUGAGGGUAGAUGGUCUGUAAGUGACAUUUCAGCUGGGUGGCUCCAGUGGAUCCAACUCUUUUAGAACAAAAAUGUUGACAGUGGCUGGGUGGAGUGGGUGAACAGUGAAUAAAUAAGAAACUCUAAGCAGGAUGGGUAUGUUUGAGCUAGAAACAGACUCAAGCACAAAUUAGACCUAGAAAAGUAUGAGAGGUGCUGAGAGUAGAAUUCACCAGAGUGAAGCUGAAUAUGAAAAAACUUAAUUUUUAAGAAUGCAAGAUAUAUUUGGUAAUUUACAUUAAUUUAUAUUUUCAACUUAUGACAAGUUAUACCAGAUUUAUGCUAAUUAUAAAAAUUUUCUUUUCAAAGUAGUUAUCAAAAUUUUGAAAGAGGUAACUGUAAAGAAAAAUGUUAAAUGAAAACUAGUAAUGGAGAAGUGCAAUACAAUAUAAUUUUUUUGGUACUGGGGAUCGAACUCAUGACCUUAUGCUUGCCAGGCAGGCGCUUAUGCUGUUGAACUAAAUCCCCAGCCCUAUAAUAUAAAAUUUUAAGCGUGGUUUGUAAAAAUAUGAAGUUUGAGAAACAUUGAUGUAAAGCAAGAGGGUCUGCCAGGUGGGACUGAUGUAUCUGUCAGGUGCUCUGGGUAUAGCACCAUAACCUCACAAUAUUUUUAGGGACUACGAAAAUGUAUUAAUUUCAAUUAAAGAAAUUAAGUCACAAGAAAAAAAUACACUUUUUGGUCAAAGAAAAUGCUUUAAUAUAUAAUGUUAAUAGUUUAAUAUAUAAUGUUAUUAGUUUUUAUGCUGAUACUAUCUAGAUAGAUAGAUAGUGGAAGAAGGGAAAUACAUGUAUGUAGGAAGGGAAAUACGUGUGUUUUUUUGUAGAGCAAGGGUAAAAUGUGUAAGGCCUAUGAAAAUUAUGUGGCCCAUUUCUAGGCACCCUUGGGAGGAAUCUUGAGGCGAUGGAAGGAAGGCCAAACUUGCCCAGCAGCACUACUAAGGGCAGGUGGGGUAUUUUGUUGGAGGACAGCACCCUCCCUCACCCUAAGUCAGAAAUAGAAGCAUCUGUGAAUGCUCACUAGCCGGGUAAGGAAUGCACUCAGCUAUAAGUGAGCAGAUAGGGGUGCCCUGGGCUCAACCCAGGCCCACUAACACCAGGCUCAGCACUACAGGACUAACCACAGCUCACGUGAUGAGUCCCUGCUAUCACGGUUGGUUCAGGAAAUUGUUAGGGUUGAGCAUUUAGUUGGAAGUUUUUCUAGGGACUGGGAAAAGGCAGGAACAAAACAUAGGGACAUUUUGAACAUCUUCCAUUAGGAAGCUUUGUUAGGACGAUUUAGCCAUGAAAUCAAAUCACAGGGGACAAGGGACAAUUUCCUACGUGGCCUCAGUCAGGGAGGUUAUGAAUAUGAGAAACACGUAAGUGAGUAACAGCCAGACAGGCACACACACACACACACACACACACACACACACACAGCUUUUUAAUACAAGUGACUUGGGAACGCCAUCAGAUAUUCUUUCUGAAAAGAAAGGCUUAUAAAAUAAUUGUGUAACAUGCUUUGAAAGCAAAAGGAGAGUAGCCAGCAGGGUAAGUGGAGGCCAGCUCCAAGACCUCUUGUUAAGUCCCGGAAGGAAGGGCAUGAAAUGCAAUUUCAAGUCAGAAGAAUGUGGUUUACAGGGCUGGAGCGUGGACCUACUCUGCAACAUCUCCUGGUGGCUCUCCUGUGGCUGAGUGAGGUGAACGACACUGAUAAAUCACCCUAUUAUAACUUGUGAGAAAGGUACAGGUUCUUAGAGGAUGGACCAACAGACACCUGAAAGAGACAAAUUGCUAUAGGAAGACAACGACACCAGCUGGAAAUUAAUGAUACCUGCUAUGAUGGAAACAAGAGCAAGCACAUGGGAGAGAGAUAAUGUGCUAGCCUCAGAAUGUCCAUUGACGUGGGUCACCAAGUCUUGGGAAAGAGUCUCAAAUAACACAUAUAAAAAGAAAACGGCGAUCUGUCAUGCAAAGGAAGACAUUGUUAUGACUGAACAAGCUAAAGUGGGACAGCGAAACAAUUUCCUUUAUGCUUUCACUUGAGGCUGAAGGUUGGAGCAUUUACCCAGGACUUUUUUUAGUUAAAGGCUCUAAAUAUUCACCAUCCUCACCAUAGUGAUGUAUAGAAUCAGUCUGGAGUGUAUUGUUUUUCUAAAAUCUCCAGCUUUUUGGGGAACUCGGAAUGACUAGGUAGGGAUAUAAACAAGUCAUGCAGAAACUUUCCUCCUGGGACACUGGUGUAUUUGCUGUUGAUUGUGGCUGUUUCUACAGUAGCAUCCAGCACUUAGUUCACAAAUCACUUCCUUCUUAUGCCUCCAGGGCUUUUGUAAACCACAUCCAAAUGGUCUAUAGAGACUGUUACCUUACAUCUUCUAUGAUAUAGAGGCUUGACAAGUGGGCUUGUGGAGUUGGGGGUGGUGGUGGGGAUCAUUAGCUGCUUCAUUGCCCUCAUAUGUCUGAUGAACCAUAGAUACACAAUGUGGUUAAACAGUGGAAAAAGCCACACUGCAGAGUCAGGGCAAAAACACAACUGCAGUUUUUCUGGUAGCUGUCACCAGGCAGGAAAGGCCAAACUGAGGCCUUCACUUGCCAACUUCUUUGGCUGAUACACACCCAUGUUGCCAAGAUAUACAAUGAUUACCUUUUGAUUGAGGUAGGGUUGAAUCAGUUUCUUUACUGGAUAAAAUGAAAGUGGACAGAAUAAUGGAAAACAUUGGAGAAAUCAAUGGAGAACAUAAUGGAUUAAUGGGACAAAUAAGUUUCUGGUGAAGAAUUAGUGAUAUUUACAAACUAUAUGUGGCAUGCAAUAGCUAGUUCAUUUUUACUUCAAGAAAAUUCAUUCCCACAUUCUGCAGCAGCUGCUACUGUUUGGAUUAUGAAUAGCAAUAAGCCAUAUGGUGUGGCAGAAAUGAAUCACACAUAUUUUCACAUGGACAAAUAUUAUUAUUCCAAAACAUAAACACGUCAAUAUAAGUGUUUUUUCUCCUGGGAGGAAUGCAGCCCCUGAUCUCAGCUACAAGUAAACGAUUCACUCUGUCUGUGCAAGAUUAUCUGCCAAGGUUAUUAUUGGAAAGAACCUGCACUACGGCCCUUCUCAGGUUUUGCUUUCUUUCUUUGAUGGCAGCCACAUUUAAUGUGAUGAGGGAGAAAGAGGACGUGGGAAGGCAGAAGAUGAAGGGAAAGUAGAGAGAAUGCAGAGAAAGAGGCUCCCAGGAAGCUGCUCCUGGCUCUGCCAUCUGGUUUGCUAUCUCAUCCAGAACCCUCACAAUGGAGAGGACCAUGUGCCUGCCUGGGAAUUAUCAUGCCAGACAGCCAGCGGCCAGAACUGAAAGGCAAAGAUGGAAAAGACUUAAUCAGGCCACUUAGACACGUCAGUGAAGGGUUCUUCUAAAGCUUAUCUCUCAUUCUUUCUUAGAGUUUAUUUUAAAUGUCUCUAGGGAAAAGUGUUCAUCAUUAUCAACAUAGCUCUCAUCACAAUGUGCCAUUUCUUAACUUGAUUUUAUUAUUUCUCUCCUUGUUAGUUCAAUUUUUCAUUUUUUUCCCUGGAAAUUCUUGCAUCAACUUCUCUUCCUGAGAAUAUUCUACUCUUGGUAUCUGUUAUUUUGUAGUUGGCACAAAGACCUUGUCUCUUUCUCUUCCUGCUGAGGCUUAACUUCUUGUCUGGCUUCUUAAACUCCUGGGAACUCACUUAUCUUCUGGCUACUGGGGCUCAGGCAGGGCAAACUUGGGGCCACAUGUGUAAGGGAAUGAAAGGGAGAACUCAGCUAUGGCCCUUGGGUCUCCUUUGGACAUUGAGGUGGCAUGACCAUCAGGGCUCAGCCUCACUGACAUGGAACCAGAGAUGUGCUCUACACAGAAGGUGCUCAAGAAAAUGCUGUCAGAAAACCACACCAUCCCGUGAACCAGGCUUUGCCUGCGGAUUGGGAAGAGGCUUAGCAAGGAGACAAACUGUGCCUUCCCAUGAGCUGACUUUGCAGGCCUGAGGCUGGUGGUCUGGGCAUCUACUUGGAGGAUGGCAGUGUGCAUUGUGGAACUGUGGGGGAUUUACUCCUGUCUUGUUUUUGAAAUUCAGUGUUUUGUUCUAUUUUGCUGUUUUGUUUUAUUCCUGUGUCUGGUAACCUGAGCAACUAUUUUGAAGAUAACAAUGUGUAGUAUCACAACAAUCGUUAAAUUCCUAUCAUCUCGUUUUAAAACCUAUAUAGCUGGGGUUUUCUUGUUGCUGUUGCUAUUUUUUAGGUUUGUUUGCUUCUUGAUUCAUCUUUUAUUUCUCUUUAAAAUAAAAAAAAAAAGAAAAUUCUGUUUGAACUAACAAUGUUAGAAUCAACUUCCACGGUAGGGCAUUUUAUUCUAUUUUGUGAUUUUUAUCUCUCAGUGUACAAGUACAUGUUUGCUUCCUACAAGAGAAAAAAUGGGAUCAGUUUACUUGGUGACAUUUCUCUUAUUCUUUAGUUUGGGUUUGCAUAUUAUCAAAAAAUAAAAUCCAGCCAGGUACAGCAGUGGGCUUAUUGUGCCAGCACAUGGAGAGUGGGAACAGGAAAAUCCCUUGAGUCCAAUUGUUCAAGACCAGUCUGGAGAACACGGCAAGACCCAGUGUUAAAAAGUAAAAUCUUUAAAAAAAAUUUUUAUUUAAAGGAAAAAAAAACAGUAAAAGGAUACAAGUAAUACAGAAUUCAAAAAAAAAAAAAAAAAAAAUAAAUAAAUAAA